AAUUUCUUUUGCGUCAUUGUUGCAAAAUGGGUUGUUACGUAAUUCCUUUGUUUACGUGAUCUUUCUUGUUACGUAAUUUCUUGGCAACUACUAGAAUGUUUUUUUAUUGUAUCAAAUGUAGUUCCGCCUUAUAUUGCAUUUACAGCUUGACUUUUAGUUUGUUUACAGAAUAAUAUAUUAACAGAUAUGGAUAACCCAUUAUCAAGAUUCACUUAGAUUUUAUUGUUUCCAUAUAUAUAAAGAGCUUAUACCGGUGUUUUUAAUAAUUCAUUUGACUUCUGCAGACCGUAGUUCUUCCAAAAUGAAUCAGAUGGCAAAUGAUGGUCAUAAUCAAGAAGCAGCCCAGCCAAGGAAUGUCUUAGGUGUUCUUAAUCCUUCCAAAGUGAAUGGAUCAUUGUGGUUCAAACGUGAUUCAAUCACUAGUGAGAUAAGAACAAUCAUUCGAUCUGAUUAUCCUAGCCCAUAUAUAUCGAAACUGGUCAACUGCACCGCAACACGUAAAAGUAAAAGAUCGAUGGUGGUACUUAUUUAAGGUAUAUCAAAGAAAGGCUGAGCAAACUUGAAAGCUUGGAAAAAUGAUAGCGAUCCUUUGUCCAGCUAUUCUAUCGAGGAUGUCAGCUAUUCUAUGGAGGGAUGUCAACAACUAAGUUUUACUUGACUGCUUUUGUUAUUUUUUCUAAGGUUUUAUUAGUUUUUUUCUAGUUUUAAAUUAUCUCUGGUUUUUCUCUAUUAAUGCAUCGUUGAACUUUUUAAUAAUUUAUUUAUUUAAUAAAAUUGGUCAUU